rnacentral:rRNA from 1 species
UACGUAGGGUGCAAGCGUUGUCCGGAAUUAUUGGGCGUAAAGAGCUCGUAGGCGGUCUGUCGCGUCGGCUGUGAAAUCCCGAGGCUCAACCUCGGGUCUGCAGUCGAUACGGGCAAACUAGAGUAUUGCAGGGGAGACUGGAAAUUCCUGGUGAGCGGUGAAAUGCGCAGAUAUCAGGAGGAACACCGGUGGCGAAGGCGGGUCUCUGGGCGAAUAACUGACGUGAGGAGCGAAAGCCGUGGGGAGCGAACAGG